rnacentral:rRNA from 1 species
GAUGAACGCUGGCGGCGUGCUUAAUACAUGCAAGUCGAACGGAGAGAGUAGCAAUACUGUCUUAGUGGCGAACGGGUGAGUAACGCGUUGGUGACCUGCCCCGAAGAGGGGGAUAACAGUUCGAAAGGACUGCUAAUACCCCAUGAUAUCUACCCGGUUAGAGGAGGUAGAUGAAAGGAGAGAUCCGCUUUGGGAGGGGCCUGCGUCCCAUCAGCUAGUUGGUAGGGUAAAGGCCUACCAAGGCAAAGACGGGUAGGGGGCCUGAGAGGGUGACCCCCCACACUGGCACUGAAACACGGGCCAGACACCUACGGGUGGCAGCAGUAGGGAAUAUUGCACAAUGGGCGAAAGCCUGAUGCAGCAACGCCGCGUGCGCGAUGACGGCCUUCGGGUUGUAAAGCGCUUUUCGGGGAGAUGAGGAAGGACAGUAUCCCCGGAAUAAGGCUCGGCUAACUACGUG